UACGUAGGGGGCUAGCGUUGUCCGGAAUCAUUGGGCGUAAAGCGCGCGUAGGCGGUCCGUUAAGUCCGCUGUGAAAGUCGGGGGCUCAACCCUCGAAUGCCGGUGGAUACUGUCGGGCUAGAGUGCGGAAGAGGCGAGUGGAAUUCCUGGUGUAGCGGUGAAAUGCGCAGAUAUCAGGAGGAACACCAAUUGCGAAGGCAGCUCGCUGGGACGUUACUGACGCUGAGACGCGAAAGCGUGGGGAGCAAACAGG
rnacentral:rRNA from 1 species